rnacentral:tRNA from 2 species
GGGCCCGUUGCCUAGUCUGGAUAGGGCGCUAGCCUUCUAAGUUAGAGGUCGCCGGUUCGAAUCCGGCCGGGCCCGCCA